UACGGGGGGGGGCAAGCGUUGUUCGGAAUUACUGGGCGUAAAGGGCGCGUAGGCGGCCUGCUAAGUCGGACGUGAAAUCCCUCGGCUCAACCGGGGAACUGCGUCCGAUACUGGCGAGGCUUGAAUCCGGGAGAGGGAUGUGGAAUUCCAGGUGUAGCGGUGAAAUGCGUAGAUAUCGGGAGGAACACCUGUGGCGAAGGCGGCUUUCUGGGCCUUACCUGACGCUGAGACGGCG
rnacentral:rRNA from 1 species